rnacentral:rRNA from 1 species
UGGGGAAUAUUGCACAAUGGGCGCAAGCCUGAUGCAGCAACGCCGCGUGAGGGAUGACGGCCUUCGGGUUGUAAACCUCUUUUAGUAGGGAAGAAGCGAAAGUGACGGUACCUGCAGAAAAAGCACCGGCUAACUACGUGCCAGCAGCCGCGGUAAUACGUAGGGUGCGAGCGUUGUCCGGAAUUAUUGGGCGUAAAGAGCUCGUAGGCGGUCUGUCGCGUCUGCUGUGAAAACCCGAGGCUCAACCUCGGGCCUGCAGUGGGUACGGGCAGACUAGAGUGCGGUAGGGGAGAAUGGAAUUCCUGGUGUAGCGGUGGAAUGCGCAGAUAUCAGGAGGAACACCGAUGGCGAAGGCAGUUCUCUGGGCCGUAACUGACGCUGAGGAGCGAAAGCGUGGGGAGCGAACAGGAUUAGAUACCCUGGGUAGUCCACGCCGUAAACGUUGGGCGCUAGAUGUGGGGACCAUUCCACGGUUUCCGUGUCGCAGCUAACGCAUUAA